rnacentral:rRNA from 1 species
CCAAUAGCGUAUAUUAAAGUUGUUGCAGUUAAAAAGCUCGUAGUUGAAUUUCGGGGUCAGUAGUUUGGUCGUGCCACUGGUAUGUACUGGGCUCACUGAUUCCUCCUUCCUGAUGAACUGUAAUGCCAUUAAUUUGGUGUUGCAGGGAAACUGGACUGUUACUUUGAAAAAAUUAGAGUGUUUAAAGCAAGCUAACGCUCGAAUACAUUAGCAUGGAAUAAUGAAAUAGGACGUUCGAUCCUAUUUCGUUGGUUUCUAGGAUUGACGUAAUGAUUAAUAGGGAUAGUUGGGGGCAUUAGUAUUCAAUUGUCAGAGGUGAAAUUCUUGGAUUUAUUGAAGACUAACUACUGCGAAAGCAUUUGCCAAGGAUGUUUUCAUUAAUCAAGAACGAAAGUUAGGGGAUCGAAGACGAUCAGAUACCGUCGUAGUCUUAACCAUAAACUAUGCCGACUAGGGAUCGGAUGAUGUUAAUUUUUUAAUGACUCAUUCGGCGCCUUACG